rnacentral:lncRNA from 1 species
CCAGUCGGCAUCGAUGUAGUGCAGUGUUAAUGACAUGUAAGGCUCCAGUUGUUGUCGCGAAAUAGUGCACCUGUUUCAGGAUCAGCUCCUAUGCUAUUCUUGCACACGGCAUUUUCCAGAGUGUGAACCAUCUUCUUGAACCCACUUUGUUCAACUGAUGAAUUUAGGGACAUGUCUUUUGCUAUGUGGUACGUCAUGGCAUCUGUUAUUUCAUUCCAUAGUCAUUCUUCCGGAACAUUCACCCCACCCCUGCCUGGUCGUCGGUGGCUUCUGUGACAUCAUUGGAUCUGCCUAUUCACUCUCACCAACUCACCUCCGCUGCCCGCUCCGUCUCCUGGAUUAUUCUGCUU